UAUUGCGCAAUGGGCGAAAGCCUGACGCAGCAACGCCGCGUGUGUGAUGAAGGCCUUCGGGUUGUAAAGCUCUGUCAGGAGGAGCGAAACAUCAGCGAGAAUAACACCUCGUUGGUUUGACGGUACCUCCAAAGGAAGCACCGGCUAACUCCGUGCCAGCAGCCGCGGUAAUACGGAGGGUGCAAGCGUUGUUCGGAAUUACUGGGCGUAAAGGGCGUGUAGGCGGAUGAAGAAGUCGGGUGUGAAAUCCCUCGGCUUAACCGAGGAAGUGCGCUCGAAACCAUUCAUCUUGAGGUCCGGAGGGGGUCGGGGAAUUCCCAGUGUAGAGGUGAAAUUCGUAGAUAUUGGGAAGAACACCGGUGGCGAAAGCGCCGAUCUGGACGGAUUCUGACGCUAAGACGCGAA
rnacentral:rRNA from 1 species